AAACACAUCCAUAACAGGAGAUACAAGAGAUAAUCCCGACAGACACAAAUGCGGCAACAACAUCUCCACCUGCUCACUCCUCUUGUCUUAUAAAAAUAGCUUACAUGUCCAACGUAAACAUGCCAAUGCUAUUGUCUUCUUUUGAAAAAUACAUAAAUUCGUUUAAAACUCAUUAAAGCCAAAAUAGUCAGAACUAACAAUCAUUUUAUAGUUAUUUCUAUAAGUCUUCAUGUAUUUGUUUUAAAUGUCCGGUAAGAGCAACAUAUUUAAAAAUAAAAUAAAAACAUAUAACAAACAUAAUAAGGAUAAUAAAAAUUAUUAAUUAAUGCACACAACUUAUACAGCUAAACUGGAGAAAAAAUAUCCAGAAACAAAAGGUACUUUCAAAAACUUUAAUAUAAUUUAUGUACUUUCAACAGUACAAGAAACAAAUUAAAAAGACAAACAAACAAUAAGUCUCAGUGAUAUAUCAAACAACAACACAAACUAUAUCAAUCACAUUACUAACAUAGUUUAGUCUUUCAUAAGUAGAGAACAAUGCAUACACAGUUCAUCAUCAUAACUCUAACCCUAUAACAAUAAAAAAAAACUUGAAAAACAACUCAAAACGUAAAAUUUACAACUACA
rnacentral:lncRNA from 1 species